CACGUAGGGGGCGAGCGUUGUCCGGAUUUAUUGGGCGUAAAGCGCGCGUAGGCGGACCUGCAAGUCGGGGGUGAAAGCCCGAGGCUCAACCUCGGAACUGCCUUUGAUACUGCGGGUCUCGAGUCCGGGAGAGGUGAGUGGAAUUCCUGGUGUAGCGGUGGAAUGCGCAGAUAUCAGGAGGAACAUCCGUGGCUAAGGCGGCUCUCUGGGACGGUACUGACGCUGAGACGCGAAAGCGUGGGGAGCGAACAGG
rnacentral:rRNA from 1 species